GCAUGCAUAAGGUACCAAAUGGAGGAACGUAAGAAACUGUACAUUCAAGCAUGCAUAAGGUACCAAAUGGAGGAACACAAUAGACUGUACACUCAAGCAGGCAUAACAUACUAAAUGGAGGAACACAACAGACUGUACACCCAAGCAUGCAUAAGGUACCAAAUGGAGGAACGCAACAGAAGCAUGCAUUACGUACCAAAUUGAGGAACACAACAGACUGUACACCCAAGCAUGCAUAAGGUACCAAAUGGAGCAAUGCAACAGACUGUACAAAUAAGCGUUCAGAAAAUAAUCGUUACCAAAAGGAGGAAUGCAAUAGACUGUACAAUUAAAGCUUUUGAUUAAUAAAGUUGACAAAAUAGAAAAUACA
rnacentral:lncRNA from 1 species